UACGGGGGGGGCAAGCGUUGUUCGGAAUUACUGGGCGUAAAGGGCUUGUAGGUGGCCAACUAAGUCAGACGUGAAAUCCCUCGGCUUAACCGGGGAACUGCGUCUGAUACUGGAUGGCUUGAGAUUGGGAGAGGGAUGCGGAAUUCCAGGUGUAGCGGUGAAAUGCGUAGAUAUCUGGAGGAACACCGGUGGCGAAGGCGGCAUCCUGGACCAACACUGACGCUGAGGAGCGAAAGCCAGGGGAGCAAACGGG
rnacentral:rRNA from 1 species